GGUAGCUUAGCUGGUUACCCGCCCGAACGACGUUCAGUCGGGCGGGGAGCGUAGCACUCAUAACGCUAAGGUCGGUGGUUCAAGCCCACCCACCACCA
rnacentral:tRNA from 1 species